UUGUAAAAGUCCACAUAUUAGGCAGUUCCCAUUGUGAAAAGGUUUUCAUAUACAUAGACCGGGAGCAGCUGAUAAUUAAGAAUCAGGUCAACAUUUAAUAUGUUAACAAUUCAAAACAAGAAAAUAAUUAAUUCUAUUUACACCUGUUUGAGGUUAUAUACUACAGCACUGAUACAGUAAAGGUUUGUAAAUUUGGCAGCUAUAUGUAUUUCAAGAUUCAUCCAGAUGACCUGAUGAUGACUUUACAUGGUUUUCUAUUAACAAUGACACUUUCUCUUCUUUUCUACUCAUUGUAGAUUAUCU
rnacentral:lncRNA from 1 species